AGUGAACGCUGGCGGUAGGCCUAACACAUGCAAGUCGAACGGCAGCACAGUAAGAGCUUGCUCUUACGGGUGGCGAGUGGCGGACGGGUGAGGAAUAUAUCGGAAUCUACUUUUUCGUGGGGGUUCACGUAGGGAAACUUACGCUAAUACCGCAUCUGACCUACGGGUGAAAGCAGGGGAUCUUCGGACCUUGCGCGAUUGAAUGAGCCGAUGUCGGGUUUGCUAGUUGGCGGGGUACAGGCCCACCAAGGCGCCGAUCCGUAGCCGGACGGAGAGGAUGGUAGGCCGCACUGGAGCGUGGACACGGUCCAGACGCCUACGGGAGGCAGCAGUGGGGAAUAGGGGGCAACAGUGGCAAGCCUGAUCCAGCCAUACCGCGUGGGUGAAGAAGGCCUUCGGGGUGUAAAGCCCGUUUGUGGGUAAAGAAAAGCAGCAGGUUAAUACCCCGCUGUACUGACGGUACCGAAAGAAGAAGCACCGGCUAACUUCGUG
rnacentral:rRNA from 1 species